rnacentral:rRNA from 1 species
CCAGACUCCUACGGGAGGCAGCAGUAGGGAAUCUUUCACAAUGGGCGAAAGCCUGAUGGAGCAACGCCGCGUGCAGGAUGAAGGCCUUCGGGUUGUAAACUGCUUUUAUAAGCGAGAAAUAUGAUGGUAACUUAUGAAUAAGGAUCGGCUAACUACGUGCCAGCAGCCGCGGUCAUACGUAGGAUCCGAGCAUUAUCCGGAGUGACUGGGUGUAAAGAGUUGCGUAGGUGGCAUAGUAAGUAGCUAGUGAAAUCUGGUGGCUCAACCAUUCAGACUAUUAGCUAAACUGCUAAGCUCGAGACCGUUAGGGGUAACUGGAAUUUCUAGUGUAGGAGUGAAAUCCGUAGAUAUUAGAAGGAACACCGAUAGCGUAGGCAGGUUACUGGGACGGUUCUGACACUAAGGCACGAAAGCGUAGGGAGCAAACGGGAUUAGAUACCCCAGUA